GUGUUUUAAGGCAUAAAAGACAAAAUUGAAACCCAAAAAUCUGCUCAUUCUCUUCUCCAUACUGCCGAAACUUUCAGAAAGCCAUGGCUAGGGUUUCAAGCUUUUUCAAAGUUCAAUUAUCGAAGAAAUCGAGAUUUGGACUAAGUACGGGGAAAUAUAAAUCAAAAUGAUCGAUUCGCGUUGAGUAUCGCCAAGUUAGCUCGGGGAUCGGUGGACGUCGGAGAUUCGCUCACACUAUCAAUUAGAACACUUGUGCUUCGGAAGCUCGCUCAAUUUGGAAGUCAUCGGAGAUUUGCGUCAUAAUAUCAAACUCUUAUUUUGGUACUUUGGACUUUAUAUUUUGGUUAAAUGGCAUGUAUAGGUAUUUUGGCUAAUGUGGCCUCUAUGACUCGUUGAGUUUUGGCCAUUUGAAUUGGCUUGUAAGGUGGUCAUGUAUUUUAAUAUGUAUAUAUGUAUAAAUGGCCUUAUAGUAUAUGAUGUAUGACUGCUAUGUGAAUUACUUGGUUGUGAAUUGGUAAUUGGGUACCAAAUGGUUGAGAUUUAUAAGUA